CAGAAAUCACAGUAGUAUUAUGUUCUUACCAGAGAAGAAUCAUGAGAUUACUGAGAUUUGAUACACUGUCACCAUAUAAGUUACAUCAAUUCUUGGUACAACAAACUCUUUGUAUUGUUAGAAACAAAAUGAAGAAGAAAUAAGAGAGUAUGAUUACAUCAACAUCUUAUUAAUGAGAUAAUAUACAUGAUGUGUACUCUCCUCCUCCGCUAAGUAGCCUGUCUUUCAUCCUUUCACCUGAAUCCACCACCUAUGCUACGAUUUAUCAUCAUGAAUUUAUUACAACAAGAACAAGAGGAUGUCUAUGAUACACUCAAUUGUCUGGAUUUCUCCAUCUAUGUGAAAUUGGCAUCGAUUAUCAAAUUCGACGUCCUAUCCUAAAAGCUUUGCCUCUGCACAAGUCUCACAUAACCAACCCUAACCAACAGCUUGCAAAUGAGAUCAACUUUACAAGGAAAAUUGAACCAGCUUCACCUUGUGGUCCACAAAACAAUCAAUGAAACUCAAGCCCAAUCAAUCAUGGCUUCUAUAUACACUCUUUAACAAAACAAUUGUUUUCCUGGAGAAAUGUCAAAGAAACCAAGUAUUCAAUGAGCAGGUAAAUCAACAAUGCAACGCUGGAGUAUAUAAUAAAAUGAUUAAAAACGAUUUGAUUUAUACCAUAAAUUGUAUUUGGGAAUUUUUACAAGAAAACUCUCCGUAAAUACUGGUUUAGGUUGGUGGAAUACUUACUCUUGGGAGAAAAUCUUAACCAAUGCAUGUAUCCCAACACGUCCCAGAGAACAGGUGUUUGUGUUCAUGUCAUGAGCAUUUCAAUAGAAGUCCCCCUCUAUAAAAUCACAUUGGAAGUUGACUGGAAAAAUCGUGAAACCUCCCUAUACAGUUGUUCAGCUUCAAAUGGCUUAGAAACAUAUCCAUCCAUUCCACACUUUCGGCAUUCCUCAUGUGUAGCUUGGAUUACAUCUGCAGUCAUUGCUAAGAUGGGAACAUGCCAAUUUGGAACAUUUUCAUAGGUUCCAACUGAAGCAUCUCCAUUUUGAAUAGAAUUGUUGAAAUUGUGUUCUUUAUCCCGUAUUUUCUGUGUAGCUUCAAACCCAUCCAUUUCUGGCAUCUGGAUAUCCAUGAAACAGGCAUCAAACUGGUGGGGUGGAGUAAGCAAUUUGAUUGCCUUUUCCCCACUCUCUGCACAGACCACAUCAGCUCCAUACUUUUUCAAAGCACCAGCAGCUACUUUGAGGUUCACACCAUUGUCAUCUACAAUAAGAAUUUUUCUCCCAAGAAGAAGAUUGGAGAGUUCCCCAUUGCAUGGAUUCCCCUUGUUCCCAACACCCAUUGCUCGUUGCAACGAUGCAGCCAGCAUACUUGCCCUAAGGGGCUUCAUGAUGGCACUUAGGGUAUAAACACCAGAAGUUGCAGUAUUUGUUUUGGAAGAACUGAUAGAAUUAGCCAGAAGGAAUAGUUUUGGAGAAACACCGCGAUCAAUUUUCAUUAUAGUACUGACAAAUAGAGCUGAAACACUUGAAUCCCUAUCCCAAACUUCCUGUUCAAUAAGGACCAUGUUGACAACUGCAUUCUCAUUGCUUAUGCUACAUAAAGCUUGAUUUAAAUCAUAAACCACUUCAACAUGAAUUCCAAGCCGCUGAAUAUGAUAUCUUGAAACCUUGGCCCUAACAGGCCUUGGAUCCACAACUAACGCUGUCAUGCCUUGAAAUUCAGAAAAGAUAGUGUUAGACUGGUUGCUGAUUUUGUGACUCUUGUACUCAUUUAAAUUGGAGCAGCCAUUGGCAAAAACAGCAGUAAAUGUAAAGGUGGUCCCAAUCUUGGGUAUGCUUACAAACCCAAUUUCCCCAUUCAUGAGGCCAACCAAACACUUGCUUAUACUUAGGCCAAUCCCAGUGCCUCCAUACUUUCGAGAAGUGGAUGGACCAACCUGCAUGAAAGGAGUAAAAAUGCGAGAUUGGGAUUCAAGAGGGAUCCCUUCUCCUGUAUCCUCAACAGAAACGAUUAGAUUGAUAAGGUCAGGAGGGGAUGGCAAAAGAGUACGACUAGAUCCCUCCGGACUGAAAGCCCUAAAUCCAGCCCAGCUGCGGCGUCUAUCUGCAAUGGGCAAACCACUCAAGGUGUUCCUUGAUGAUGGUUCUGUCCCUAUAUCUAUGGACUCAAUCACCUCCUCCACAAGAUGGACGGUCACAAAGAUGUGCCCUUGAUGUGUGAAUUUUAUUGAAUUUCCCAUGAGAUUGAUGAUGAUUUGCCGGAACCUCCCUGGAUCACCAAUUAGCAUUUCAGGAACACUAUUAGAGAUGUAAACUGCCAACUGCUCUUCCCACCAAUUUGAUCAUGCCAAUAUUAAAAUUUAGAUAUUAGAUAGUGAAAUCAAGGUAAAGAGGGGAAAAUAAACUGGAGGAGAAGGAGGAGGUGAUGAGAGGAAAAGAAACAACAUAAUGCUAAGAGGAGAAAUUAUUAGAUACUGCAUAUGUAAAGCCUCUCAUAAAAUGGUUUCCAUAAGCAAAAUUUAUAUCUGAUCAUUUUCAUCAGUUAAAUAAUACAUUACCUCUACUCCUUUCCCUUGAGACUUGUCAGA
rnacentral:misc_RNA from 1 species